rnacentral:lncRNA from 1 species
UUUGUGAGGUUUUGGUGUGUGUUGCCUGGUUUAGAAGAAGAGGAUAUUCCUCAACUAUACCCAAAAUGGCCAAAUCUUGCUAUUUGUUGGACAUGUUAGGUGAAAAACAAAAAGCAAGAAUCAAUGGUGGCUGGUGGCUGAUGAUGCUUUUUCAUCAAAAUGGAGUUUCAGAGAGGAAAGAUUGGAUAAAGAUGAAGGCUUGAAAGGGCAGAUUGGGUUGUUAGUUUCAAGACUUUAGGGUGCUUAAGAUACUGAUUGCUUGCUGAAAGGGCACUUUCCAAGGCUUCUAAUGACGAAUCUGAACAAGUUGGCAAAAAGGUGACUGACCUUGAGAAACAAUUGAAAAUGGAGAUAAAAUCAUGAAACAGAGCCAGAGCCGAAAAGAUCUGGUAAAAGACAUAAAUGCUCUUUAGAUGAUGGUAAUUUUGGGUCUUUUGAUGAGGAU